GGGGUUAUAGAUCAGUGGCAGAGUGCAUGCUUAAUAUGCACAAGGUCCUGUGUUCAAUCCCCAGUACCUCCA
rnacentral:tRNA from 1 species